rnacentral:guide_RNA from 1 species
AACAACAAAAACAUAUAAUAAAUGAUGGAUGUGUGU